GACCUGUAGUGCUACAGCUGCUCGUAGUGAAGCUGCUGGAGUUUGACUAUACAUAAAUAUGGAUCUCAAUGAGCCCUUGUAAUGGAUGUUGAUGAUAAUUGAUCCACUGUAGGGGUAGGGUGUAUAUCUAGAUGGAAUCUAUCGAUCCUAGCAGAAGAAUGUAGUCCUAUGGGAUUUAAGAAGCUGAGUCUUUAAGUCUAUGGCCAUAGCAGUAUGACUAAUAGAAAAGAACUCUAUGAGAAUCACAUAUAGACUCAAGCUGAUUAAAUCUAUCAUAUGAUCGAUGAUGAGGUUUGAUGAUUCAUCCAUGAUCUGUUAUCU
rnacentral:lncRNA from 1 species